rnacentral:rRNA from 1 species
UGAGGCUUUAGUGGCGCAGCUAACGCGAUAAGUAGACCGCCUGGGGAGUACGGUCGCAAGACUAAAACUCAAAUGAAUUGACGGGGGCCCGCACAAGCGGUGGAGCAUGUGGUUUAAUUCGAUGCAACGCGAAGAACCUUACCUGGCCUUGACAUACUAGAAACUUUCCAGAGAUGGAUUGGUUCCUUCGGGAAUCUAGAUACAGGUGCUGCAUGGCUGUCGUCAGCUCGUGUCGUGAGAUGUUGGGUUAAGUCCCGCAACGAGCGCAACCCUUUUCCUUACUUGCCAGCAUUUCGGAUGGGAACUUUAAGGAUACUGCCAGUGACAAACUGGAGGAAGGCGGGGACGACGUCAAGUCAUCAUGGCCCUUACGGCCAGGGCUACACACGUGCUACAAUGGUCGGUACAAAGGGUUGCUACACAGCGAUGUGAUGCUAAUCUCAAAAAGCCGAUCGUAGUCCGGAUUGGAGUCUGCAACUCGACUCCAUGAAGUCGGAAUCGCUAGCAAUCGCGGAUCAGAAUGCCGCGGUGAAUACGUUCCCGGGCCUUGUACACACCGCCCGUCACACCAUGGGAGUUUGUUGCACCAGAAGUAGGUAGUCUAACCGCAAGGAGGACGC